ACCGGCGGCUCGAGUGGUGGCCACUAUUACUGGGCUUAAAGCGUUCGUAGCUGGCUUGUUAAGUCUCUGGGGAAAUCUUCCGGCUCAACCGGAAGGCGUCUCAGGGAUACUGGCAGGCUAGGGACCGGAAGAGGUGAGAGGUACUCCAGGGGCAGGGGUGAAAUCCUGUGAUCCCGGGGGGGCCACCUGUGGCGAAGGCGUCUCACCGGGACGAGUCCGACAGUGAGGAACGAGAGCUGGGAGCGCAAGCCG
rnacentral:rRNA from 1 species